UACGAAGGGGGGCUAGCGUUGUUCGGAAUUACUGGGCGUAAAGCGCACGUAGGCGGAUCGAUCAGUCAGGGGUGAAAUCCCAGAGCUCAACUCUGGAACUGCCUUUGAUACUGUCGAUCUGGAGUAUGGAAGAGGUGAGUGGAAUUCCGAGUGUAGAGGUGAAAUUCGUAGAUAUUCGGAGGAACACCAGUGGCGAAGGCGGCUCACUGGUCCAUUACUGACGCUGAGGUGCGAAAGCGUGGGGAGCGAACAGG
rnacentral:rRNA from 1 species